GGGGAUUUAGCUCAGUGGCAUAAGCACCUGCCUUGCAAGCAGGAGGUCGUGGGUUCGAUCCCCAGUACCGA
rnacentral:tRNA from 1 species